UACGAAGGGGGCUAGCGUUGUUCGGAAUUACUGGGCGUAAAGGGCGCGCAGGCGGCUCUUCAAGUCAGAUGUGAAAGCCCCGGGCUCAACCUGGGAACUGCAUUUGAGACUGGAGAGCUUGAGUUCGGGAGAGGAGAGCGGAAUCCCAGUGUAGAGGUGAAAUUCGUAGAUAUUGGGAAGAACACCGGUGGCGAAGGCGGCUGCUCG
rnacentral:rRNA from 1 species